AACCAGAAGGCGCAAUGAAAGUGAAGGCACGGCCGCCGUGCUGAGGUGAGAGCUGCCCCCGGGCGGCACAUCAUCGACCGAUCCUAUCCGCUCCCUCGUGGUGCGGCGGGAUUCGAGUAAGAGUGCAUCUGUUGCGACCCGAAAGAUGGUGAACUAUGCCUGAAUAGGGUGAAGCCAGAGGAAACUCUGGUGGAGGCCCGUAGCGAUUCUGACGUGCAAAUCGAUCGUCAAAUUUGGGUAUAGGGGCGAAAGACUAAUCGAACCAUCUAGUAGCUGGUUCCCUCCGAAGUUUCCCUCAGGAUAGCUGUAGCCCGAAGCAGUUUUAUCAGGUAAAGCGAAUGAUUAGAGGUAUCGGGGAAGAAACUUCCUCGACCUAUUCUCAAACUUUAAAUAGGUAAGAAGUCCGACUUGCUCAAUUUGAAGCCGGACACAGAAUGCUGGGUUACUAGUGGGCCAUUUUUGGUAAGCAGAACUGGCGAUGCGGGAUGAACCGAACGCCGAGUUAAGGUGCCAAAGUCGACGCUCAUCAGAUCCCACAAA
rnacentral:rRNA from 2 species